AUUCUUCUAGUAUUAUUAGUACAAGUGACUUCCAAUCACUAAGUCUCAGCUUAACCCUGAGGAGGAAUA
rnacentral:tRNA from 1 species